UUCGUCUGCCGCUGCUCUGUGAACCGGCGGGAGUCGCCGUUGGCGUCGCGCUGCCUUUGCCCUAAAAUUGGCAAGGUUGUUGCUCGACGCUCCGCCUCCCUGUAACGUCGUUGGAAGCUGCUCCGUACUCGAGCCCUUGCUCUUCUUCCUCAGAAAUCAGCCGUCGCCGCCACUGAAGAAUCGGCGAGGUCUCCGUGCUCCCCUCAUUGUUUUCGUCCGGCAGGUAGCAAGCCAGAGGCUGCCGCUGCCACCGCCACCGCCAAGGGGCAGUCGCCCUCCUCCUCGUUUAUUGAAACAGGUGAGUAAAGAAUGAAUGGAGGUAGGUUGCUGCUGAAUUGUUUGCUUGAAGGAGUGUUGGCUAGUAGCCUUAAAGAAUCGAGAUGGUGGAUGUGGUUUGAAUAGGUGGGGAGCAAUAGGUAGUGGGGUGGCAGCACACUUAUUUUGCUUUCCACUAACUUUAUGGACAUUUCUAUCUCUCUUCUUUAAUUGUUGUGCCAACUAGAGUGAGUGGCAGUAAGGUGGCCACGUAAAUUCAACCUUGUAAUAUACUAUAUGAUUUUCCCCAAGCUGGGAAGUAGACUGUAUUCGUGAACUAUAAUAAUAUACUGGCUUCUAUUCUCUAUCA